UGGGGAAUUUUGCACAAUGGGGGAAACCCUGAUGCAGCGACGCCGCGUGAUUUAGAAGGCCUUCGGGUUGUAAAAAUCUUUUUUAUGGGAUGAAAAUGACAGUACCAUAAGAAUAAGGUCCGGCUAAAUACGUGCCAGCAGCCGCGGUAAUACGUAUGGACCGAGCGUUGUCCGGAAUCAUUGGGCGUAAAGGGUACGUAGGCGGAUAAGCAAGUUAGAAGUGAAAUCCUAUAGCUCAACUAUAGUAAGCUUUUAAAACUGCUCAUCUUGAGGUAUGGAAGGGAAAGUGGAAUUCCUAGUGUAGCGGUGAAAUGCGCAGAUAUUAGGAGGAAUACCGGUGGCGAAGGCGACUUUCUGGCCAUAUACUGACGCUGAGGUACGAAAGCGUGGGUAGCAAACAGG
rnacentral:rRNA from 1 species